CAGCAGCCGCGGUAAUACGAAGGGGGCUAGCGUUGUUCGGAUUAACUGGGCGUAAAGGGUGCGUAGGCGGGGUUUUAAGUCAGGGGUGAAAUGCCGAGGCUCAACUUCGGAACUGCCUUUGAUACUGGAACUCUUGAGUCCGGGAGAGGUGAGUGGAACUGCGAGUGUAGAGGUGAAAUUCGUAGAUAUUCGCAAGAACACCAGUGGCGAAGGCGGCUCACUGGCCCGGUACUGACGCUGAGGCACGAAAGCGUGGGGAGCAAACAGGAUUAGAGACCCCCGUAGUCCCUGUCUCUUAUAC
rnacentral:rRNA from 1 species